rnacentral:rRNA from 1 species
GAUGAACGCUGGCGGCGUGCCUAAUACAUGCAAGUCGAGCGAACAGACGAGGAGCUUGCUCCUCUGACGAUAGCGGCGCAGGUGAGAGUAACACGAGGAAAAUCUCCCUAUAAGACUGGUAUAACCUGGGGAAUCCGGAGCUAAUACCGGAUAAUAUAUUGAACCGCAUGGUUCAAUAGUGAAAGACGGUUUUUCUGUCACUUAUAGAUGGAUCCGCGCCUCAUUAGCUAGUUGUUAAGGUAAUGGCUUAUCAAGGCAAGGAUGCGUAGCCGACCUGAGAGACGGAUAGCCGACACGGGAACUUGGACACGGUCCAGGCGACUGCGAGAGGGAGCAGUAGGCAAUCUUACGCAGUGGGCGAAAACCUGACGGAGCAGCGCGGCGUGAGUGAUAAAAGUCCUGGGAUCGUGAUAAUCUGUUAUUAGGGGAGAACAAAUGUGUAAGUUAAUGUGCACGUAUUGACGGUACCUAGUCAGAAAGCAACGGCUAACUACGUG